GGGAAAAUACUGCUGGUAAGACAGUUAGCUCUACCGUGCUCUUAAAUAUAUAGUGCAGGAACAGAAAGAGGGGGAGAGAGAAAGGGAGAGCAGAAUUACCUGCCUUACUUUACCAGGAAAAUAAAAUUAUCAUCAUCAGGACCAAGAAUGAAUGUGUUGUGUGCAACACAGGGCAAAAGAAGGGCAUAACCUUCUCUCAGCUCCUCAGAGGUCAGCAUGAAGGAAUGUUGCUAGUUGAAAUCAAGGACAGAGAAGAGGCAAGCAACCAUCUGAAUCCUGUCCAUGAAACCUUCUGCAUCCCUAUCGAGUAAUGGCAAAAACCAACAACAGUUUCAGUAGAGGACAAGCUUCAGAAGUGACAAAAAUUUGUUAAAAUGUUAAAUUGCCAA